rnacentral:rRNA from 1 species
AUUGAACGCUGGCGGCAGGCCUAACACAUGCAAGUCGAACGGUAACAGGAAACAGCUUGCUGUUUCGCUGACGAGUGGCGGACGGGUGAGUAAUGUCUGGGAAACUGCCUGAUGGAGGGGGAUAACUACUGGAAACGGUAGCUAAUACCGCAUAACGUCGCAAGACCAAAGAGGGGGACCUUCGGGCCUCUUGCCAUCGGAUGUGCCCAGAUGGGAUUAGCUAGUAGGUGGGGUAACGGCUCACCUAGGCGACGAUCCCUAGCUGGUCUGAGAGGAUGACCAGCCACACUGGAACUGAGACACGGUCCAGACUCCUACGGGAGGCAGCAGUGGGGAAUAUUGCACAAUGGGCGCAAGCCUGAUGCAGCCAUGCCGCGUGUAUGAAGAAGGCCUUCGGGUUGUAAAGUACUUUCAGCGGGGAGGAAGGGGGUAAAGUUAAUACCUUUGCUCAUUGACGUUACCCGCAGAAGAAGCACCGGCUAACUCCGUG